rnacentral:rRNA from 1 species
GCGGGUGCCUAUACAUGCAAGUCGAACGAACUCUGGUAUUGAUUGGUGCUUGCAUCAUGAUUUACAUUUGAGUGAGUGGCGAACUGGUGAGUAACACGUGGGAAACCUGCCCAGAAGCGGGGGAUAACACCUGGAAACAGAUGCUAAUACCGCAUAACAACUUGGACCGCAUGGUCCGAGUUUGAAAGAUGGCUUCGGCUAUCACUUUUGGAUGGUCCCGCGGCGUAUUAGCUAGAUGGUGAGGUAACGGCUCACCAUGGCAAUGAUACGUAGCCGACCUGAGAGGGUAAUCGGCCACAUUGGGACUGAGACACGGCCCAAACUCCUACGGGAGGCAGCAGUAGGGAAUCUUCCACAAUGGACGAAAGUCUGAUGGAGCAACGCCGCGUGAGUGAAGAAGGGUUUCGGCUCGUAAAACUCUGUUGUUAAAGAAGAACAUAUCUGAGAGUAACUGUUCAGGUAUUGACGGUAUUUAACCAGAAAGCCACGGCUAACUACGUGCCAGCAGCCGCGGUAAUACGUAGGUGGCAAGCGUUGUCCGGAUUUAUUGGGCGUAAAGCGAGCGCAGGCGGUUUUUUAAGUCUGAUGUGAAAGCCUUCGGCUCAACCGAAGAAGUGCAUCGGAAACUGGGAAACUUGAGUGCAGAAGAGGACAGUGGAACUCCAUGUGUAGCGGUGAAAUGCGUAGAUAUAUGGAAGAACACCAGUGGCGAAGGCGGCUGUCUGGUCUGUAACUGACGCUGAGGCUCGAAAGUAUGGGUAGCAAACAGGAUUAGAUACCCUGGUAGUCCAUACCGUAAACGAUGAAUGCUAAGUGUUGGAGGGUUUCCGCCCUUCAGUGCUGCAGCUAACGCAUUAAGCAUUCCGCCUGGGGAGUACGGCCGCAAGGCUGAAACUCAAAGGAAUUGACGGGGGCCCGCACAAGCGGUGGAGCAUGUGGUUUAAUUCGAAGCUACGCGAAGAACCUUACCAGGUCUUGACAUACUAUGCAAAUCUAAGAGAUUAGACGUUCCCUUCGGGGACAUGGAUACAGGUGGUGCAUGGUUGUCGUCAGCUCGUGUCGUGAGAUGUUGGGUUAAGUCCCGCAACGAGCGCAACCCUUAUUAUCAGUUGCCAGCAUUAAGUUGGGCACUCUGGUGAGACUGCCGGUGACAAACCGGAGGAAGGUGGGGAUGACGUCAAAUCAUCAUGCCCCUUAUGACCUGGGCUACACACGUGCUACAAUGGAUGGUACAACGAGUUGCGAACUCGCGAGAGUAAGCUAAUCUCUUAAAGCCAUUCUCAGUUCGGAUUGUAGGCUGCAACUCGCCUACAUGAAGUCGGAAUCGCUAGUAAUCGCGGAUCAGCAUGCCGUCCCCUG